ACCGAUAGUGAACCAGUACCGUGAGGGAAAGGCGAAAAGAACCCCGGCGAGGGGAGUGAAAAAGAACCUGAAACCGUGUACGUACAAGCAGUGGGAGCCUCUUAAUGGGGUGACUGCGUACCUUUUGUAUAAUGGGUCAGCGACUUAUAUUCUGUAGCAAGGUUAACCGAAUAGGGGAGCCGAAGGGAAACCGAGUCUUAACUGGGCGUUAAGUUGCAGGGUAUAGACCCGAAACCCGGUGAUCUAGCCAUGGGCAGGUUGAAGGUUGGGUAACACUAACUGGAGGACCGAACCGACUAAUGUUGAAAAAUUAGCGGAUGACUUGUGGCUGGGGGUGAAAGGCCAAUCAAACCGGGAGAUAGCUGGUUCUCCCCGAAAGCUAUUUAGGUAGCGCCUCGUGAAUUCAUCUCCGGGGGUAGAGCACUGUUUCGGCAAGGGGGUCAUCCCGACUUACCAACCCGAUGCAAACUGCGAAUACCGGAGAAUGUUAUCACGGGAGACACACGGCGGGUGCUAACGUCCGUCGUGAAGAGGGAAACAACCCAGACCGCCAGCUAAGGUCCCAAAGUCAUGGUUAAGUGGGAAACGAUGUGGGAAGGCCCAGACAGCCAGGAUGUUGGCUUAGAAGCAGCCAUCAUUUAAAGAAAGCGUAAUAGCUCACUGGUCGAGUCGGCCUGCGCGGAAGAUGUAACGGGGCUAAACCAUGCACCGAAGCUGCGGCAGCGACACUAUGUGUUGUUGGGUAGGGGAGCGUUCUGUAAGCCUGUGAAGGUGUACUGUGAGGUAUGCUGGAGGUAUCAGAAGUGCGAAUGCUGACAUAAGUAACGAUAAAGCGGGUGAAAAGCCCGCUCGCCGGAAGACCAAGGGUUCCUGUCCAACGUUAAUCGGGGCAGGGUGAGUCGACCCCUAAGGCGAGGCCGAAAGGCGUAGUCGAUGGGAAACAGGUUAAUAUUCCUGUACUUGGUGUUACUGCGAAGGGGGGACGGAGAAGGCUAUGUUGGCCGGGCGACGGUUGUCCCGGUUUAAGCGUGUAGGCUGGUUUUCCAGGCAAAUCCGGAAAAUCAAGGCUGAGGCGUGAUGACGAGGCACUACGGUGCUGAAGCGACAAAUGCCCUGCUUCCAGGAAAAGCCUCUAAGCAUCAGGUAACAUCAAAUCGUACCCCAAACCGACACAGGUGGUCAGGUAGAGAAUACCAAGGCGCUUGAGAGAACUCGGGUGAAGGAACUAGGCAAAAUGGUGCCGUAACUUCGGGAGAAGGCACGCUGAUAUGUAGGUGAAGCGACUUGCUCGUGGAGCUGAAAUCAGUCGAAGAUACCAGCUGGCUGCAACUGUUUAUUAAAAACACAGCACUGUGCAAACACGAAAGUGGACGUAUACGGUGUGACGCCUGCCCGGUGCCGGAAGGUUAAUUGAUGGGGUUAGCGGUAACGCGAAGCUCUUGAUCGAAGCCCCGGUAAACGGCGGCCGUAACUAUAACGGUCCUAAGGUAGCGAAAUUCCUUGUCGGGUAAGUUCCGACCUGCACGAAUGGCGUAAUGAUGGCCAGGCUGUCUCCACCCGAGACUCAGUGAAAUUGAACUCGCUGUGAAGAUGCAGUGUACCCGCGGCAAGACGGAAAGACCCCGUGAACCUUUACUAUAGCUUGACACUGAACAUUGAGCCUUGAUGUGUAGGAUAGGUGGGAGGCUUUGAAGUGUGGACGCCAGUCUGCAUGGAGCCGACCUUGAAAUACCACCCUUUAAUGUUUGAUGUUCUAACGUGGGCCCCUUACCGGGGUUGCGGACAGUGUCUGGUGGGUAGUUUGACUGGGGCGGUCUCCUCCUAAAGAGUAACGGAGGAGCACGAAGGUUGGCUAAUCCUGGUCGGACAUCAGGAGGUUAGUGCAAUGGCAUAAGCCAGCUUGACUGCGAGCGUGACGGCGCGAGCAGGUGCGAAAGCAGGUCAUAGUGAUCCGGUGGUUCUGAAUGGAAGGGCCAUCGCUCAACGGAUAAAAGGUACUCCGGGGAUAACAGGCUGAUACCGCCCAAGAGUUCAUAUCGACGGCGGUGUUUGGCACCUCGAUGUCGGCUCAUCACAUCCUGGGGCUGAAGUAGGUCCCAAGGGUAUGGCUGUUCGCCAUUUAAAGUGGUACGCGAGCUGGGUUUAGAACGUCGUGAGACAGUUCGGUCCCUAUCUGCCGUGGGCGCUGGAGAACUGAGGGGGGCUGCUCCUAGUACGAGAGGACCGGAGUGGACGCAUCACUGGUGUUCGGGUUGUCAUGCCAAUGGCACUGCCCGGUAGCUAAAUGCGGAAGAGAUAAGUGCUGAAAGCAUCUAAGCACGAAACUUGCCCCGAGAUGAGUUCUCCCUGACUCCUUGAGAGUCCUGAAGGAACGUUGAAGACGACGACGUUGAUAGGCCGGGUGUGUAAGCGCAGCGAUGCGUUGAGCUAACCGGUACUAAUGAACCGUGAGGCUUAACCUU
rnacentral:rRNA from 1 species